rnacentral:rRNA from 1 species
AUUGAACGCUGGCGGCAUGCCUUACACAUGCAAGUCGAACGGUAACAGGUCUUCGGAUGCUGACGAGUGGCGAACGGGUGAGUAAUACAUCGGAACGUGCCAAGUAGUGGGGGAUAACUACUCGAAAGAGUGGCUAAUACCGCAUGAGAUCUACGGAUGAAAGCAGGGGAUCGCAAGACCUUGUGCUACUAGAGCGGCCGAUGGCAGAUUAGGUAGUUGGUGGGAUAAAAGCUUACCAAGCCGACGAUCUGUAGCUGGUCUGAGAGGACGAUCAGCCACACUGGGACUGAGACACGGCCCAGACUCCUACGGGAGGCAGCAGUGGGGAAUUUUGGACAAUGGGCGCAAACCUGAUCCAGCAAUGCCGCGUGCAGGAUGAAGGCCUUCGGGUUGUAAACUGCUUUUGUACGGAACGAAAAGCCCUGGGUUAAUACCCUGGGGUCAUGACGGUACCGUAAGAAUAAGCACCGGCUAACUACGUGCCAGCCGCCGCCGUAAAAC